CCCUUAGAUGUUCUGGGCCGCACGCGCGCUACACUGAUGCAUUCAACAAGCCUAGCCUUGACCGAGAGGUCCGGGUAAUCUUUGAAACUGCAUCGUGAUGGGGCUAGAUUAUUGCAAUUAUUAAUCUUCAACGAGGAAUGCCUAGUAAGCGUGCUUCAUCAAAUCGCGUUGAUUACGUCCCUGCCCUUUGUACACACCGCCCGUCGCUCCUACCGAUUGAAUGUGUUGGUGAGGAGCUCGGAUUGGCAGCAGUUGGUGGUUCGCCACCGGCUAUUGCUGAGAAGUCCUCCAAACCGCCCCAUUUAGAGGAAGGAGAAGUCGUAACA
rnacentral:rRNA from 1 species